GUGAAUCAUCGAAUCUUUGAACGCAAAUUGCACUCCCUGGUAUUACGGGGAGUAUGUCUGUUUGAGGGUCAGUUUAAAUAACAAUCGUGGUGUUGCUUUUUUGUGACCCAUCGGAAUUGGGUCAUCUUUGACCUUUUAAUAGGUUUAAGUUAACUAAAAUUGUUACAUUGUGAAUAUCAGACGUACAUAAGAAUAUUUUUCUAUUUGUCCGGAGUUGC
rnacentral:misc_RNA from 1 species